UUGUAUCUGUGGUCGAGACGCUGAAUCGCUUCCCGUCUGUAUUAGUGACGGACAGAUGCUGACGAAAUACUGCCGGUACUCUUUUGACAUUUUAGUCUUGCUGCACUAAAUUUGACUUCGAGGCGUCUACAUCUAUACUUCAACAGCCUAUUUAUUCUACACUUCACCCAAUAACAAUUACUUAUUUUGAGGGCAUUUUCGAUCCAAUAAUGGCAAAUUCCGUUGCCUUUCACACUCAGCUAGCCUCCAUCAUGGAGGUUUUAGCUAACGCGGCCGUGGCUGAAAUCUGCGAGCUUGUUGACAAUGGCUAUGCGGUCCUGCAUUUGGAGAUAUCUCAAGGGCAGAAGGAGAAUGACGCGUUGAGGAGAAAACUACGGAUGAUGGAGCUGAAAGUGUCUCGUGCGAGUGCCAUGAGAGCGGGAAUGGGAAGCUCAAUCCUCGCGCACAGUCGCUUUCGAACUCACGUUGGCAUGGAAUCGAGAAGGACAUCAAGCAGCGAGGUACAUUGUCGGAGAGGAGUUGAUUCCCAGUUGGUCACCAGCCUGUUUAGGGACGGAAAGUCCCCAGGUGACACUGGACAGACUACCACACAGAGAAAGCCUGCUGCGUUGGAUGAGAUAAAGCCCAAAUCACUUACCAUCAAAGAGGAGAGGGGGGAAGAAGCCUGGGACAAUCAUGACCAACGAGAGAGAUUGAGUACCGGAGCUUUAAAUCACAGUGUUGAUGGAGGAGAAAGGCAUUCCAACAUCGUCACAGAGGCCACACAACAAAUCAGCAAACAGGAGAAUGCCAGCUCUUGUAAAUGGGUGAGUGGCGAAACCGACAACAAUGAAAACCUGAGUGUGAACAAAAGAUCUCAAACCCCAGCAUUGGAAGAUGGUGAUGGAAUACUUGACCAUGCAGGCUUUGAUUGUAUGAUGUUUGAGCCCCCCAGACAACUUGGGACCCUUAGCACCCAGGGUCCUGGGGCUGAUCUUCCUGAGUGCUCUUACUCUCAUGUGGAUGUUGUACCUCUUAAUUCUGAUUCAGAGAAUAGUUUUCCCUUUUCGAUGAACAAGGUGAGUCGCUCCAUAACUGAGCACAAACAACCUGUAGCUUACAGAGACAAUAGACAGAGGGUGCCGUUGCCCUCAGAUGAGCCUCACAUGACUAUGCGAAAAGGCAUGGAGACUGGAUCCAAUGCCUUGGUAAUGACGGAUGGUUGGGUUUCCCAUGACAGUCAUAAUAACGACGCUGUGAAUUACAACCAAGACGGCACAGCAGGUAACCGGUUCAUUUGUAGUUUCUGUGGUAAGACUUUGGCGUGUCUGAAGAACCUCAAGACACACCUUAGGGUUCACACCGGGGAGAAGCCGUUCAGCUGCAUGCAGUGUGGGAAGCGCUUCUCCGACUCCAGCAACCUCAAGCGACACCAGAGCGUACACACGGGGGAGAGACGCUACGGCUGCAGCCACUGCGGCAAGCGCUUCGCCCAGUCGGGGCACCUCAAAGUGCACCUUAGCGUACACACAGGAUGCAAGCAGUUCCGAUGCCCACAGUGUGGAAAGACUUUCAUAUCGGCCAAUCACCUCAAGAGACACAUCAGUGUCCACGAUGGAGAAGAAAGUAUUUUACCAACCACUUUUCAGUGAGUGAAAGCAUACCCAAACGUGCUCCAGCCCAGCUUGAACAAAAAAAUGAAUUGGGGGCUCGACUGAAGGAGUUGAUCAUCCAAAAAGUAUUCCAUACACUUUUGAAUGACUGUUUUUGUAACUCUUAUCAUUUAAGUUGUUUAUCACUCAUCCUCAGCCCACUGUGUGAAAAUCGGUUUGCGGACUCGAGGUGUCUCAUCAGACAAAACUGUUCACACAGGAGAAAGACCCUCCAUCUGCAUACAGUCUGGUAUAUGGUGAAGGAGAUGAGUAAGCCUGAGUGCAUCGAAUUCAAAGAGGAAAGACAGGAGGACACCAUAAGCCUACAGAAUGACUCAAGAAUUAAAGGUGGGUGCUUAUAUUUGUCCUAUUUCACACAUGCACAAGUGUGUAUUACUACGCAUGUGUGAAUUGAAAAUGUGUUUUUUUGCAUAUUCCACUCCCUGAGACACCCUCGGCGAGUGGGAUCAAGGCCAUGGUCUGCCAUUCAACGUCGACCGUGGAGCAAUUAGGAUUAAGUGCCUUGCUCAAGGGCAGAUCGACAGAUUUUUCACUUUGUCGGCUCAGGGAGAGCAGUGUUGAAUCAGGUGCUGAUGAAGACAACAGGGGUGUGACUGGACACACUCAGACCGACAGCCUCUUUGAGGACUAUGAUCCGCACAUCAACGCAGACCAAGAGAGGAAAAGCACGAUCCAGAAGUUUCAGCAUACGAACGUUGCACACCGCGUAUGGAGGCAGGGAUACUCAGGCUUGUGGACACCAAGAAGCACUGAAACAGAUUCUGAGGAUCCAGCUUGCUCUUAUUCUGAGGAAAUUAGCCCCACUCAUGUCAAAGCUCACACAAAGCAACAACAACAGACUUCCGUAUCUGAGGAAAGCAAGCUGUUCGCUGUUGAAUCUCAUAAUGUGAAACCAGUGUCUGCAAUGCUUGAUUCUGAACCCUAUGAAGAAAAAUAUAAAUCUAGCAAUAAUGAUAGCAGUAAUAAUUUGCAUCUGCAAAACAGCAUCUCUUAUGAGACUAGUGAAAACUUUGGAAAUCUUGCUGGGAGUGGUUUCUCUAACAGUCAAGGAAAUAUUAGAGGGAACACAGCUAGGCCCAAGGUGGGCAUAGUUCAAAGCUACAUGGCAGGACAUAAAAUGCAACACGGGGUUGGCAAGCGAGAAAAACGGUUUGUUUGUGGCUUCUGCAGAAAAAGUUUCACUUGUCCAAAGUAUCUUCAGUCUCACCAGCGGGUUCACACGGGAGAAAAACCCUUCAGCUGCUCUCAGUGUGGGAAGAGGUUCGGCCAAGCUGUUUAUCUGAAGAAACAUCAGAACGUCCACACGGGAGAGAAACCAUUUGUUUGCCCACUGUGUGGGAAGCAGUUUGCAGAUGCAAGUAAUCUCAUCAGACACAAGAGUGUUCAUACAGGAGAAAGACCCUUCAUCUGAAUACAGUCUGGGGAGAGGUUUGCUGUGAAGCACAACCUUAUAAUUCACAGAGAGAAACACUUCAGGUUGCUCAAAUGCUGGAGAUUCUAUUGUCACUGAGUAUACCAUGGACACAAUUAGUCAGGAAUAAUUCAACUUAACAUUUUGACUGAACACUUGUCUUUAGGCUAUUUGUCAUUUACAGUUGAUGACUGGUCUUGUAAACAAAAUUAAUGGAAAUAAAAUUUUAAAAAAUUGUG